UAGGUAGGGAGCAAGCGUUGUCCGGAUUCACUGGGUGUAAAGGGUGCGCAGGCGGACUGAUAAGUCAGGGGUGAAAUCUUACGGCUCAACCGUGAAAUUGCCUUUGAUACUGUUAGUCUUGAGUUCGGGAGAGGUUGAUGGAAUUCCAGGUGUAGCGGUGGAAUGCGUAGAUAUCUGGAAGAACACCAGUUGCGAAGGCGGUCAACUGGCCCGUAACUAACGCUCAGGCACGAAAGCGUGGGGAGCGAACAGG
rnacentral:rRNA from 1 species